GACGAACGUUGGCGGCGUGCUUAACACAUGCAAGUCGAACGGAAAGGCCCUGCUUUUGUGGGGUGCUCGAGUGGCGAACGGGCGAGUAACACGUGAGUAACCUGCCCUUGACUUUGGGAUAACUUCAGGAAACUGGGGCUAAUACCGGAUAGGAGCUCCUGCUGCAUGGUGGGGGUUGGAAAGUUUCGGCGGUUGGGGAUGGACUCGCGGCUUAUCAGCUUGUUGGUGGGGUAGUGGCUUACCAAGGCUUUGACGGGUAGCCGGCCUGAGAGGGUGACCGGCCACAUUGGGACUGAGAUACGGCCCAGACUCCUACGGGAGGCAGCAGUGGGGAAUAUUGCACAAUGGGCGGAAGCCUGAUGCAGCAACGCCGCGUGCGGGAUGACGGCCUUCGGGUUGUAAACCGCUUUCGCCUGUGACGAAGCGUGAGUGACGGUAAUGGGUAAAGAAGCACCGGCUAACUACGUGCCAGCAGCCGCGGUGAUACGUAGGGUGCGAGCGUUGUCCGGAUUUAUUGGGCGUAAAGGGCUCGUAGGUGGUUGAUCGCGUCGGAAGUGUAAUCUUGGGGCUUAACCCUGAGCGUGCUUUCGAUACGGGUUGACUUGAGGAAGGUAGGGGAGAAUGGAAUUCCUGGUGGAGCGGUGGAAUGCGCAGAUAUCAGGAGGAACACCAGUGGCGAAGGCGGUUCUCUGGGCCUUUCCUGACGCUGAGGAGCGAAAGCGUGGGGAGCGAACAGGCUUAGAUACCCUGGUAGUCCACGCUGUAAACGGUGGGUACUAGGUGUGGGGUCCAUUCCACGGGUUCCGUGCCGUAGCUAACGCUUUAAGUACCCCGCCUGGGGAGUACGGCCGCAAGGCUAAAACUCAAAGGAAUUGACGGGGCCCCGCACAAGCGGCGGAGCAUGCGGAUUAAUUCGAUGCAACGCGUAGAACCUUACCUGGGUUUGACAUGGAUCGGGAGCGCUCAGAGAUGGGUGUGCCUCUUUUGGGGUCGGUUCACAGGUGGUGCAUGGCUGUCGUCAGCUCGUGUCGUGAGAUGUUGGGUUAAGUCCCGCAACGAGCGCAACCCUUGUUCACUGUUGCCAGCACGUUAUGGUGGGGACUCAGUGGAGACCGCCGGGGUCAACUCGGAGGAAGGUGGGGAUGACGUCAAGUCAUCAUGCCCCUUAUGUCCAGGGCUUCACGCAUGCUACAAUGGCUGGUACAGAGAGUGGCGAGCCUGUGAGGGUGAGCGAAUCUCGGAAAGCCGGUCUCAGUUCGGAUUGGGGUCUGCAACUCGACCUCAUGAAGUCGGAGUCGCUAGUAAUCGCAGAUCAGCAACGCUGCGGUGAAUACGUUCCCGGGGCU
rnacentral:rRNA from 1 species